rnacentral:rRNA from 1 species
GACGAACGCUGGCGGCGUGCUUAACACAUGCAAGUCGAACGGAAAGGCCCUGCUUUUGUGGGGUGCUCGAGUGGCGAACGGGUGAGUAACACGCGAGUAACCUGCCCUUGACUUUGGGAUAACUUCAGGAAACUGGGGCUAAUACCGGAUAGGAGCUCCUGCUGCAUGGUGGGGGUUGGAAAGUUUCGGCGGUUGGGGAUGGACUCGCGGCUUAUCAGCUUGUUGGUGGGGUAGUGGCUUACCAAGGCUUUGACGGGUAGCCGGCCUGAGAGGGUGACCGGCCACAUUGGGACUGAGAUACGGCCCAGACUCCUACGGGAGGCAGCAGUGGGGAAUAUUGCACAAUGGGCGGAAGCCUGAUGCAGCAACGCCGCGUGCGGGAUGACGGCCUUCGGGUUGUAAACCGCUUUCGCCUGUGACGAAGCGUGAGUGACGGUAAUGGGUAAAGAAGCACCAGCUAACUACGUG